rnacentral:rRNA from 1 species
UACGGGAGGCAGCAGUGGGGAAUAUUGCACAAUGGGCGCAAGCCUGAUGCAGCCAUGCCGCGUGUAUGAAGAAGGCCUUCGGGUUGUAAAGUACUUUUCAGCGGGGAGGAAGGCGGUGGAGUUAAUAGCUUCACCGAUUGACGUUACCCGCAGAAGAAGCACCGGCUAACUCCGUGCCAGCAGCCGCGGUAAUACGGAGGGUGCAAGCGUUAAUCGGAAUUACUGGGCGUAAAGCGCACGCAGGCGGUCUGUCAAGUCGGAUGUGAAAUCCCCCGGGCUUAACCUGGGAACUGCAUUCGAAACUGGCAGGCUAGAGUCUUGUAGAGGGGGUAGAAUUCCAGGUGUAGCGGUGAAAUGCGUAGAGAUCUGGAGGAAUCCGGUGGCGAAGGCGGCCCCUGGGCAAAGCUGACGCUCAGGGUGCGAAAGCGUGGGGAGCAAACAGGGAUUAGGAUACC